AUUGAUUUUAUGCUUGCAUAAAUGAUUUUUGGAUUCGGAGCGAGUGGCGAACUGGUGAGUAACACGUGGGUAACCUGCCCCGAAGCGGGGGAUAACAUUUGGAAACAAAUGCUAAUACCGCAUAAUUAGUCAGAACCGCAUGGUUCCGACUUAAAAGAUGGCUCUGCUAUCACUUCGGGAUGGACCCGCGCCGUAUUAGUUAGUUGGUGAGAUAAAAGCCCACCAAGACGAUGAUACGUAGCCGACCUGAGAGGGUAAUCGGCCACAUUGGGACUGAGACACGGCCCAGACUCCUACGGGAGGCAGCAGUAGGGAAUCUUCCACAAUGGACGAAAGUCUGAUGGAGCAACGCCGCGUGAGUGAUGAAGGGUUUCGGCUCGUAAAACUCUGUUGUUAAAGAAGAACAAGCAUGAGAGUAACUGUUCAUGCUUUGACGGUAUUUAACCAGAAAGCCACGGCUAACUACGUGCCAGCAGCCGCGGUAAUACGUAGGUGGCAAGCGUUGUCCGGAUUUAUUGGGCGUAAAGCGAGCGCAGGCGGUUUUGUAAGUCUGCUGUGAAAGCCCUCAGCUCAACUGAGGAAGUGCAGUGGAAACUACAAAACUUGAGUACAGAAGAGGAAAGUGGAACUCCAUGUGUAGCGGUGAAAUGCGUAGAUAUAUGGAAGAACACCAGUGGCGAAGGCGGCUUUCUGGUCUGUUACCGACGCUGAGGCUCGAAAGCAUGGGUAGCGAACAGGAUUAGGUACCCUGGUAGUCCAUGCCGUAAACGAUGAAUACUAGGUGUUGGAGGGUUUCCGCCCUUCAGUGCCGCAGCUAACGCAUUAAGUAUUCCGCCUGGGGAGUACGACCGCAAGGUUGAAACUCAAAGGAAUUGACGGGGGCCCGCACAAGUGGUGGAGCAUGUGGUUUAAUUCGAUGCUACGCGAAGAACCUUACCAGCUCUUGACAUCUUCUGCCAACCUAAGAGAUUAGGCGUUCCCUUCGGGGACAGAAUGACAGGUGGUGCAUGGUUGUCGUCAGCUCGUGUCGUGAGAUGUUGGGUUAAGUCCCGCAACGAGCGCAACCCUUAUUAUUAGUUGCCAGCAUUUAGUUGGGCACUCUAGUGAGACUGCCGGUGAUAAA
rnacentral:rRNA from 1 species